rnacentral:lncRNA from 1 species
GCCACGUUGACUGUAUUAUUGGGAAAACCCUGAGGUUUUCUAUCACCCCAUGGUUACAGGAUAGAUCAGCUUUCACCAUUAGCUUACCGUGUUAAGUCUUUAUUCACAAGUGUCUGUGUAUGCAAAAUGUAGGUUUCUGGGUUCCUUGUACUGACCCAAGUGGCUCUGUCAGAUGUGUUUCUAAUUCCUGCUGGGUCCUGAGAGGGAAAGGCCAAUCUGACAGCUCUUCUGUAUUAUGCUAGGGACCAUCCCCUCCCUUGUUAGCCCUGAAAUGUCAAGAUGGAAAGGUCUCCACUUUAAUGACAUUCCCAGUUGCACAACAAGCCUGUUGAGAAGGGAGCAUGCUGCAUCCAUCAAGCAGAGUAGGUCAUGGCUGUUCAACAGUUUUACUAGAAAACCAGUGAUUUGAGAGGCUGAGGGAGGGUGAGCUGAUAGUAAAUAGUGCUUAAUGAGGUGCUUGGAUGUGCCUCCCAAGAUGAUCUCCAGGUCAUGCUGUCAGAGAUUUGCACUCUGACUCUACACAGGCCUUUUUACCUCCUGUCUGUGAAGCCAAGAUUGCCACAUGCAAGUUAUGUGAAAUGACCUUCAUACCAUCUCCUGCUAUCACAGGCUCCGUGUCAGCCACUCAUUUAGGAACUGUUGCAGGCUUUCAGCACUGUUAUUGGGGCAGUUUCUGGAUGGUACUCUCAGGAUCAGUUUGUUGUGGAAUAUUGAAAGCAGGAAAAAGAUCCUCUUCAUUCUCAUGGUGGCAAAUGAUCUGAUGAAAUGUAAAAUUGGAGCAUUUAUUACAUUGGGAGACCUUUACAAAGUUGGACUUUGAUGAAGAUGAUGAGUGGCCAGUCCUGCCUCAGAGUCUCCUCUGAUCUGUGGAAGCCUGGAAGCUGCUCCACAGAAUGGUCCUAUGCCUCGACACUGGUUUAUCAUCCACCAUGACCCCAAGCUCAUGGAUGAGGAAGGAAUGCCCAUAGCUGCUACCAUCCCCGCCCCUCUGGCUUCAGAAAAAUCACCAAGCUUGGAGCAUGACUGCCCCAGGAAGAAGGAGAAGUAACUGCAUUGCUCUGCUCAACACAUGGCAGCUUGCUCCUUUCCUCUCCAGAGAACAUUGACCUUCAAGGCCAUACAUGAUUAAAGGAUUGGGAGACAUUCCCUGGUAUUAGCUGUUCCCUCUUUCUUUUUCCUGCUUAAGGUAAGAGCUGCACAAACUCCCUUUAUAAUAGUCACCUAACAGAGAACACAAUGACUAAUCUGUCAUCAAAGUAUUUAGGGACGAUGACGAUACCUAGGUUGAUUUUCAGUGUAAUUUUUGUUUUUAUUUCACUGUGAUGUUUCUACAAAAUCCAUAAAUCAUAGGGAUGUGAUAAGAAACAGGUUGUAGUUGCUGGUUAUUCUUGUCCAGAUGCACAGAAACACCCUGAUUGUUACUUUCCAAUGACAACCAGCUCAGGGCUAAACAUUUUUCAGUUGCACAGCCAGCUUUCAAGGUUACACAUAGAUACUGAAUGAAACAGAGCCCACUGGUUAUUUUUAGAGAGGCUCUAAACAAGAAGCAAAUCCCUGGAGCAGUGCUGCCAGAGAUGCAUAAAGUUCAAAUCCAAAUUAAAACUGCCUAUCUUUGGCCUACAUUCCAACUUGAACUUGAAGAAAACUGUGAUCUGUGACUUGAACUUUAUGGCCAAAACUCAUUUGCAAUUAGUUUCUAAUACCUGAGAAUACAUGAACUUGGUACAAACACUUGAAAAAUAGAACUUGAAUGAAAAAUGUAAACACUUGUCCCAAAAUGUAGUACUUGUU